CCUUGACUGCGAAAGCAGACAUUUGCCAAGACAAGGAGAUUGACAUG
rnacentral:ncRNA from 1 species